ensembl:lncRNA LINC02010 long intergenic non-protein coding RNA 2010
GCUCUGUUUGGGUACACUGCUGGGGCUGCUGCUGCUCUGGUCUGUUCUGCCUAUGGAGCAGCCACUUUGCUGUACACCGCUACUCCGGGCCACUCUGCCUAUAAGGAAGCACUGCUCUGUGGGACAGUGAUACGGCUGCACACCGCUACUCCCGGGAACUCUGUCUUUGGGUCAGCCCUGCUCUGUCUACGGAGCAGCUAUUUUGCUGUAUGCUGUUGUUCUAAUAAACUUCUUUCUUUCACUGCUGGCUGGCGCUUGAAUUCUUUCCUGAGUGAAGCCAAGAAUCCUCCCAGGCUGAACGCCAAUUCGGGAUAAACCUGCAUCCGCUGGAUAACUUGAUAAUGAAUUUUUAAAUUAAUUUUUUCACUUAUUGAUCCACUUUUCUCAGUCAUUUUCUGUUUCCUGCAACCGAAGACCCCUAAGUUACACAGAAAUCAGAUUUAAAAAUACAGACUCAGACGAAUGUAAAUAUUUUGAAUUGAAUGGAGUGAAAAGUGCUGAGACUCCUACCCAUGUUCAGAGAUAUGAAAGUGGUGGUCAAUGAGAAAGAAUCUUUAAACAACCACAAGCAGUGACCGGUUGGAACCUGGGCCUCCUGAAGAUGAAGUUCAGAGAGCAGGUGGCUGUUGUCAUAGAACUGCUUAAAUAGAAUGAGGAAUGGUAGGCCCACCGAGUAGAAUGGCUACAUCUGACAGGCCUAGUAAUGAAAUUGGAGACUGGAAAGCCCAGGCCUUAUGGGUUUCAAAGCACAGGAUGAAAUUCAGAAUCCUUGUGUGAGUGUACAGAACAGUCCCUUAUUACUUGUAGCUAUGCUGCGGAGCACACAGAAAACUAAUUCCACGGAUGCAUUUUGCACCUUGCUGAAUUAUAAUAUUAGUUGAAUUCACAAACUCUCAUGUAUGUGAAAGCUAAGGCAUUAAUUAAGAAAGAGUGGACUCGGUAUAAAGUCAUAAUAACACUCUGGCAUCCAAUUUCCAGAAUUUAAAAUUAUCUCUCUGCCUAAAUAGCUGUGGGGUUCUAAAUAAGUUACUCAAAUUAUAUGUCUUACUUUUCAUGGGGAAUACUAACAAUAUUGUUAGUAGCAUUAUUUCAUGAAUAGCUAUAUUUUAAAGAAUAAAUUAGAUAACCCACACCAAACACUUAACACAGUGCCUAGUACAAAGAUAGUACUUGGAUGUUAGCUAGUAAUUCAAGUAAAAUCUUUAAUAAUUUUCAAAUAGAUGAAAAAGAAUUUGUAUUAAGUGUAUUUAUCAAACGAUUACUUACUCUGCUACACAAUCUUCAUGUUCAAAGAAAUUUAAUGCAUAUUUCUUACAAUCAGAAAUCUUCCAAUUAUUCUGGGAAGGUCUGAAUAAAACUUGCAAAAAUUUAAAUGAUAACAUAGGAGAAAUAGAAGGUCGAAGUAGUGAGACAAGAACUCAGUCAUAAGGUUUUAUAAGAUUAAGUGCUCAAUGAAUGCUCUUGGAAAAAGGUGUUAUAUUUUUCUUAAAUAUCUUUUUUAUCAAAUGACUAUUUGAUCUACUGUAUUUGAAGAGUUAAACUCAUUUCUACAUGUCUUAUUUUUCUUAUGUUCUUAUAGCAAGGAUCAGUCAGAUCUAAAUACUUGUUUCAGAACUGCACACUUUGGGUUUUGACAUUUAUUUUUUUAUUUCCUAAGCCAGAAAGUGAAUCUUUGAAAACUGUAAGACAAUAAUCCAAGUGGAAAAUGCUUUGAAAGCUCUUUGUAGUUGGCAAUAAGGCUUUAUUAAUGACAAUUGUUCUCACAUGAUGGAUGUACUUGCCAUAAUACCUAUGGGCUUAUACUGUGACUGUUAGUAUUUCCUUGAACAAUUCCCUAAGUGACCAUAUAUAAUUUAAUACACCUAGCCUCCCAAAACACAUUGUCUUGUGGAUUUGUCAGUAGUGUAUCUUAAUGAGAAAAAAUGUCCUCCUUAAAUCAAAUGUAAAUUACUUUUUUAAAAAAAUCUAACUACAGAUAAAACGUACUUUUAAAAAUAUAAUCUUGCAAUACAUUUAUUAAAAUUUUGUUAAAUGAAUCAUAUUUUCCAUUGAUUUGCACUAUUAUAUUAGAGAUGUGUUCCUAUGGUAAGAAAUUUGACCAAAAGUGAAUAUAUAAUACAACUUAGAAAUGCAGAG